UUAAAAUUGCCCUUGUCCUCUGGGCUUUCCUGCCUCCCAGAACAACACUAAAUAUCAGCAAAUUCCCCUAGGAAGAAACAUUUGCUUCCUGGCGGCGGAUGGGAUUCCUCGGUUGCAGGACAAGACUUGGUGGCACUUUGCCUCUUCUAGGACCCAUGCAAAGCCUGGC